ACGGGUGAGUAACGCGUGGGUAACCUGCCUCAUACAGGGGGAUAACAGUUAGAAAUGACUGCUAAUACCGCAUAAGCGCACAGUGCUGCAUAGCACAGUGUGAAAAACUCCGGUGGUAUGAGAUGGACCCGCGUCUGAUUAGGUAGUUGGUGAGGUAAUGGCCCACCAAGCCGACGAUCAGUAGCCGACCUGAGAGGGUGACCGGCCACAUUGGGACUGAGACACGGCCCAAACUCCUACGGGAGGCAGCAGUGGGGAAUAUUGGACAAUGGGGGAAACCCUGAUCCAGCGACGCCGCGUGAGUGAAGAAGUGUUUCGGCAUGUAAAGCUCUAUCAGCAGGGAAGAAAAUGACGGUACCUGACUAAGAAGCCCCGGCUAACUACGUGCCAGCAGCCGCGGUAAUACGUAGGGGGCAAGCGUUAUCCGGAUUUACUGGGUGUAAAGGGAGCGUAGACGGCUCUGCAAGUCUGGAGUGAAAGCCCGGGGCUCAACCCCGGGACUGCUUUGGAAACUGUGGAGCUAGAGUGCAGGAGAGGUAAGUGGAAUUCCUAGU
rnacentral:rRNA from 1 species